GGAAUAUUGCACAAUUGGGGAAACCCUGAUGCAGCAACGCCGCGUGAAGGAAGACGGUUUCCGGAUUGUAAACUUCUUUUCUUAGUGAAGAAGAAAGUGACGGUAGCUAAGGAAUAAGCAUCGGCUAACUACGUGCCAGCAGCCGCGGUAAUACGUAGGAUGCGAGCGUUAUCCGGAAUUACUGGGUGUAAAGGGAGCGCAGGCGGGACUGCAAGUUGGAUGUGAAAGGCCGCGGCUUAACUGCGGGGCUGCAUCCAAUACUGUAGUUCUUGAGUGGAGUAGAGGCAAGCGGAAUUCCGAGUGUAGCGGUGAAAUGCGUAAAUAUUCGGAGGAACACCAGUGGCGAAGGCGGCUUGCUGGGCUCUAACUGACGCUGAGGCUCGAAAGUGUGGGGAGCAAAC
rnacentral:rRNA from 1 species